ensembl:lncRNA
UGGACCUUAGAGUCUAGUGGUGGAGAUAGAAAAUAAUUAAAAUAAACACAUAAAUAAAGUGUCAACACAGUAAAUGCUGUAUAGCAAAUUAAAAUAACUGAUGUGUAAUCAAGUGACUGAGUGACUGCUUUGGAUCAGGAGUCAGAGGCAGCCUCUGAAGAAGUGGCAUUUACGAGAUUCCUGAAAAAGAAGAAGACUGAGGAAGGAGCAGGUUCCAGCAUGGAAGAGGAGGAGCGGGACAUGGACUAGGGGAAGCCACCAGGGUUUGCUGGGCUGGACCCAGUUUAACACACGUGAAAGGGGGUGGUCCUUCUCUUGAGCUAGUCAGCCAGGGUCCCCCUACCCCCACAGAGCCAUUCUCAGACCUGGCACAGCACCCUAUCCAAACUGGACACCACCACCUGCUUGUUGAACUGAUCAGAGACUCACCUCUCACCUACAUCACAUCCUAGAAUGAAGCACAGGCUUCGCAUGUCACACUCAAGUGGGCACACCCUCAUGGACAAAUGCAGUCUUUCCCCUACUCAGUCAGACUUUGUCCUUUCAAUUCUUUCUAUUUUUAAACAUUAGCUUUUUGUGAUUAUUUCUGUGUUUGCU